AGUGAAACACGGGGCGGACAACAAGGAAAACGUGACAUGGAACGUGAUCAGUGGAGAGUGAAACAGAAAACACGGGGCAGACAACACGGGAUCGUAACAAUUUGCUUCUGAAAAUAUUAUAUUUUUACAGACAUGAUCCACAAACACAUCAGCAAAAGAAUGAAAUCAUACAUCAAAACGCGUCAUCAGUAUGUAUUUGAAGGAUUGGUAAAGCAGAGAAAACGACACUCCUGAAUAAGAUCUACACAGAGCUCUACAUCACAGAGAGUGAAAGUGGAGAGAUCAGUUAUGAACAUGAGUUGAGACAGAUAGAGAAACAAUCCAGGAGAACAACAACAGAGGAUUCACAAAUCAAAUGCAAUGAGAUCUUUAAACCUUUACCGGGACAAGACAAACCCAUCCCUGUGCUGACAAAGGGAGUCGCUGGCAUUGGAAAAACAGACUCUGUGCAGAAGUUCAUCUUCGCUUCCUCAUGUGACUUUCAUUGGAGUCAAAUCAUACCAUCCUAGAAGGGCUUUUAGUGAAAUGGACAUACAGCUCCCUGGAAAGAACAAAAACCACUAAGUAUUUCAAGGAAAAAAUACAAAACAGUUAUUGUCCAAACGAUUGUCUCCUUCUGUUCCACUGUCUAAAUGAACUUUGAGCAUUCUGUUACAAAUGAAAUCCAAAGCUACUUGAACUCUGUAAAACUAAAUAAGAAAGGCAUGUCUAGAACACACUGGUCAGCUCUGGUGUACAUUUUAACAUCCUGAAAUGAAAAGUUUGAUGAGUUUGAACUUCAUAAGUAUGGCAGAUCAGAUGAAACCGUUCGCUGGAUGCACCCUGUGAUUAAGUUGUCUACAAAGGCUCAGUUACGUGACUGUAAUAUCACUUUAUCUAAUGUGAGAGAGCUGGACUUGAGCCACAAUACCCUGGAAGACUCAGGAGUUGAGAUGCUCUGUACCAGAGAAAAGAGAUCACAUCACAAAGAAUGGGUUUUGUCCAACUGUGAUGUCACAAAGGAAGGUGUAUCAGACCUGGCUGAAGCUCUGAAAUCAAACCCCUCUCACCUGACAGAGCUCAAUCUGCUGG